rnacentral:other from 1 species
AGAUUCCUGGGGUGUUCGACGAUCUCGUCAUUUUGAACCUACAUUUACUUUAAACGGGAUUCCUAUAUCGCUGCAUAGAUGCCAGGCCUCCGUUUGCAGUGGAAGGCAGAAGUGCAGUUGCGGUUACCCACCUGGCUUCGGCUAGGAGUCAAGAGACGGGAAACGGCACUCCGGGGUUUUA